rnacentral:sRNA from 1 species
GAGCGCAACAACAUGCCAGCGCUGCUGGCGCUGAAUUCACCUGCUGGGAAUUCAGGUAACAGGGCCGCCGUGUUGCGGCCUUUUUACUUUUG